UACAGAGGUCCCAAGCGUUGUUCGGAUUCACUGGGCGUAAAGGGUGCGUAGGCGGUGAGGUAAGUCUGACGUGAAAUCUCCGGGCCUAACCCGGAAACUGCGUUGGAUACUAUCUUGCUAGAGGAAUGGAGGGGAGACUGGAAUACUUGGUGUAGCAGUGAAAUGCGUAGAUAUCAAGUGGAACACCAGUGGCGAAGGCGAGUCUCUGGACAUUUCCUGACGCUGAGGCACGAAAGCCAGGGGAGCAAACGGG
rnacentral:rRNA from 1 species